GGCCGGUUAGCUCAGCUGGUUAGAGCGUGGUGCUAAUAACGCCAAGGUCGCUGGUUCGAUACCCGUACUGGCCA
rnacentral:tRNA from 2 species